ensembl:lncRNA
UUUUAUUUCCAUUACUCCAUGAAUAUCUUAUUCACUUCUUCACAAAUCUUUUCCAUUUUUCUGAGACUUUUUUGCUUGGAUCAGAACAUUAUUCAGUCAAACAAGAUACAUUUUUGUUGAAUGAACACAUUUAUUCCUAAUGCUUUGAGUAUGCAGUUGCCAAAAAGGAAAUCAGUCCAAACCAUUCAUAGAAACAGACUGGGUUGUAUUCCCUCAUCUUUCAUCAUUGUGUUCAAGGUAGAACUAUACUUCUAUUUUAAGAAUGAAAAACAAAUUUCCACAAGAGAUAACUUGUUACUGAAGAAUUCCUGUAUAAUUAGAAGCCUUCAAGGCAAAUAAUAAUUGUAAUUUGAAUGGAAGGGAUUGGAGCCACUUCAAUAAUGAUACUCAUUUGAUUUUUUGUUUCUCUUCUCUGGACUAUAUAGGAGCAACAGUUGCUUAUGUCCUGAUGGACAUAACCAAUAUAAACAUGGUGAUUAUUCCUGGCAUGAUGUCAUCCUUGCUGAUCAUCAGAUGAAGACUCCUAUUGCUUGCCUUGUCUCAUCUAAGCAAAACUAAAUCUUUCCUAAAGUGCAAUGACACAUGGUUAGGCUGUGUGGGGGAAAAAAAGUGGGGUGACAGUCUAUUUGCAAAUAGACAGUCUAGAAAGCAAAAAGUUAAUUAUUCUUUGGUUGGUCCUAACAAACUUUCUUUUAUUAAUAGCAAACUAUGAAUAUCCAUGCCAGGGUAACUGCAGAGGGGAUUGUAAAAUGGUCUAUCAUUCUCUCCAAGGAAAUAUCUAUGCAAAUGUAGUGGAACUAGAUAUGAAUAAAGAACAUGUUCAGAACCAGGAUCUUCAGAGUAAUGGCAUAUUAGUGUAUUACUCAAUGAUAUUUCAUUGGAAGAAGAUGACAAUGUCUCUCCUUUGAAUAAUAUUGUUAAUUUCAAAAUUACCAUUAUAGUCACAUUUCUUUUAUUAUCAGCAAACAAACAUUUAUUAAGCAUGUGCUGUUUGCAGAUUACCAAAUACACUGCUCCAAAUAGAUGAGGCAUGUGAUAGUGAUAG